rnacentral:sRNA from 1 species
GCAGCCGCCGUGCCCGUGCCCCUCCUCCCUCCUGUGCGCACCUGCCGCUGUCCCUGGGAUCAGGCUUCCAGUUCACCCACUGCACCCGCAUCUGCCCCACUUGGGCCCCCUCCUUGGCCUGAGGGCACCCCAACCCCACCUACCCCACCUGGUGGACACACACCCAAGCCCGAGCCCCCGAUGCCAGAGCCCCCGCACACACUGGCACCCAUGCUGACGCCUGGCUCCCCGCAGCUCCUGUGCCGAGUGCCUGAAGUUUGAAAAGGGCCCCCUUGGGAAGAACUGCAGCGCGGCGUGUCAGCGCCGGCAGCUGUCGAACAACCCCGUGAAGGGCAAGACCUGCAAGGAGAGGGACUCAGAGGGCUGCUGGGUGACCUACACACUGGAGCAGCAGGACGGGAUGGACCGCUACCUCAUCUAUGUGGAUGAAAGCCGAGAGUGUGUGGCAGGCCCCAACAUCGCCGCCAUCGUCGGGGGCACCGUGGCAGGCAUCGUGCUGAUUGGCAUCCUCCUCCUGGCCAUCUGGAAGGCUCUGAUCCACCUGAGUGACCUCCGGGAGUACAGGCGCUUUGAGAAGGAGAAGCUCAAGUCCCAGUGGAACAAUGAUAAUCCCCUUUUCAAGAGCGCCACCACGACGGUCAUGAACCCUAAGUUUGCUGAGAGUUAGGAGCACUUGGUGAAGACAAGGCCGUCAGGACCCAC